rnacentral:rRNA from 1 species
GGAAUAUUGCACAAUGGGGGAAACCCUGAUGCAGCCAUGCCGCGUGUGUGAAGAAGGCCUUCGGGUUGUAAAGCACUUUCAGUAGGGAGGAAAGGGUGUAACUUAAUACGUUAUAUCUGUGACGUUACCUACAGAAGAAGGACCGGCUAACUCCGUGCCAGCAGCCGCGGUAAUACGGAGGGUCCGAGCGUUAAUCGGAAUUACUGGGCGUAAAGCGUGCGCAGGCGGUUUGUUAAGCGAGAUGUGAAAGCCCUGGGCUCAACCUAGGAAUAGCAUUUCGAACUGGCGAACUAGAGUCUUGUAGAGGGGGGUAGAAUUCCAGGUGUAGCGGUGAAAUGCGUAGAGAUCUGGAGGAAUACCGGUGGCGAAGGCGGCCCCCUGGACAAAGACUGACGCUCAUGCACGAAAGCGUGGGGAGCAAACAGGAUUAGAUACCCCAG